AAUCGAAAAAGGCAAACUUAUUGAAAAAUAGGGACGCAAAGCUACGGGCCUAAUGUUUAAAAACGAUGGUAGCCGAGUUACCGAA
rnacentral:ncRNA from 1 species